rnacentral:rRNA from 1 species
AUACAGAGGGUGCGAGCGUUAAUCGGAAUUACUGGGCGUAAAGCGCGCGUAGGCGGCGUAUUAAGUCAGAUGUGAAAUCCCCGGGCUCAACCUGGGAACUGCAUCUGAUACUGGUAAGCUAGAGUUUUGGAGAGGGAAGUAGAAUUUCAGGUGUAGCGGUGAAAUGCAUAGAGAUCUGAAGGAAUACCAGUGGCGAAGGCGACUUCCUGGCCAAAAACUGACGCUGAGGUGCGAAAGCGUGGGUAGCAAACGGGAUUAGAAACCCUAGUAGUCC